rnacentral:tRNA from 1 species
GUUUAUCUAAUAUAAAAAGUAUAUUUGACUUCCAAUCAAAAAGUUUGAAAACUUCAAGAUAAACA